rnacentral:lncRNA from 1 species
AUUUGUUUCAUUGUUUGACUAGUUAAGGGGCUGAAUGGACUAAAGAAAAGUUUUAUAGCAGUGCUUUUAAAUUCAUUGAGAAUUUUAAUAGGUAGUCACCUUUUCAGAUAUGUAGACCUUGAUUAAAAAAUGGACCACUUUGAAAAUUGACAUGGAAGAUGGUGAAGUUAAAUAACUUGUUAAAAAUUUUUAUUUUCCUGUUGUGUUUUUCUUUAGUGUUAAAAUUAGGCUCUCUUUAUUAUAUCAAAUAAUACUUCUAUAUUUUUAGAAAUUUGCUUUGGUUUUUACACAUAUGUCUAAAAAUAUGAUCAAUUUGUUGUGAAUAUGUAAUUAUUGUUUGGGAGGCGCA